UGACGUCACGUCCUCAUGGCCCUUAUGGGUAGGGCUUCACACGUCAUACAAUGGUCGGUACAGAGGGUUGCCAAGCCGCGAGGCGGAGCCAAUCCCACAAAGCCGAUCGUAGUCCGGAUUGUUCUCUGCAACUCGAGAGCAUGAAGUCGGAAUCGCUAGUAAUCGCAGGUCAGCAUACUGCGGUGAAUACGUUCCCGGGUCUU
rnacentral:rRNA from 1 species